GCCUUUGUGGUCUAGUGGUUAGCACGCUUGACGCGCAGCCAGAGGUCCGUGGUUCGAUUCCUGGCGAGGGCA
rnacentral:tRNA from 1 species